CUGCAGAGGGAAACAGGAGGUGAGACUUGGAGGUAGGAGUUUCGAUCUCAGAACAUCUGCAGGAACCUGAUCGUGGCUGGAGGACCCGAUAUGGAAGGAAUGACAUGUAAGCCGAUUUAAGUCAUCUCUAAUUCCAACACCACGCUGGUGAAUGAUCUCAUGACCUCAGAGAGAAAAAGAAAACAAGGACAGCAGAACAGAAACUCGAAGAUUUAAGAAAGUGAAGUCAUGACGGGAUAUUGAACAAUGUCUGAGGUAAAGGCAAAAGAGAGUCCCAGACAGGUCUGGAGCGCUAUGUUCAACCCAAGGAGGUAUCUGAAUGAACAACAAAGCUGAAAAAGUCAUGCCAAAUUGAGGAUCAACCUGAGUGUGCUAAUGUCUGGGCAUCCCUGCAAGGUGAGCUCCUGAGCCAAGUAUCCAGUGACUUCAUUCUGAAACUCUCCAUGGACCCAAGACCUAGGAUGGGUUGUAAUGGAUGGCUAAGCACACAGCAACAUUUAUGUCACUGGAUGAGUCUGCCUAGCGUUUGAAGUUUAUAAUGAAAACUAUAAUCAGUAACAGGGUGAUUCUCA
rnacentral:lncRNA from 1 species